rnacentral:rRNA from 1 species
UACGUAGGGGGCAAGCGUUGUCCGGAAUCAUUGGGCGUAAAGAGCGUGUAGGCGGCUCGGUAAGUCCGCUGUGAAAGUCAAAGGCUCAACCUUUGAAUGCCGCUGGAAACUGUCUGGCUUGAGUCCGGAAGGGGCGAGUGGAAUUCCUGGUGUAGCGGUGAAAUGCGCAGAUAUCAGGAGGAACACCAAUGGCGAAGGCAGCUCGCUGGAACGGUACUGACGCUGAGAAGCGAAAGCAUGGGGAGCGAACAGG